GGCCCUGUAGCGCAAUGGAUAGCGCGUUGGACUUCUAAUCCGAAGGACGUGGGUUCAAGUCCCACUUAGGAUG